rnacentral:rRNA from 1 species
UACGAAGGGGGCUAGCGUUGCUCGGAAUCACUGGGCGUAAAGCGCACGUAGGCGGCUUGUUAAGUCAGGGGUGAAAUCCUGGAGCUCAACUCCAGAACCGCCUUUGAUACUGGCGAGCUUGAGUUCGGGAGAGGUGAGUGGAACUGCGAGUGUAGAGGUGAAAUUCGUAGAUAUUCGCAAGAACACCAGUGGCGAAGGCGGCUCACUGGCCCGAUACUGACGCUGAGGUGCGAAAGCGUGGGGAGCAAACAGG